rnacentral:rRNA from 1 species
AUAAUCAGUCAUAUCACCCUGCAGCCCAAGACUGGUUGCCCACUGAAGCUAAGCAAGGCUGAGCCUGGUCAGUACCUGGAUGGGGGACCUCCUGGGAAAACUAGGUUGCUGCUGGAA